rnacentral:rRNA from 1 species
GCUCAGGAACGAACGCUGGCGGCGUACCAUNNUUACAUGCACGUAGAAACGCUGAAGUCUANUGCUUGCACUCGACGGAUGANUUNCGAACGGGUGAGUAACGCGUAGNUAACNUGCCUCAAUAGCGGGGGAUAANUAUUGGAAACGAUAGCUAAUACCGCAUAAUAGUAUUUACNGCAUGGUAGAUGCUUGAAAGGAGCAACUGCUUCACUAUGAGAUGGACCUGCGUUGUAUUAAGCUAGUUGGUGAGGUAACGGCUCACCAAGGCUUCGAUACAUAGCCGACCUGAGAGGGUGAUCGGCCACACUGGGACUGAGACACGCCCAGA